rnacentral:rRNA from 1 species
GCCAAAAAUCUAGCCCCAAACAACCCAAACCUCAACACAUUUUACCGCCCCAUCAAAACAUUUAUUAAAUUUAGUAGAGGCGAUCGAAAGAUUAAUCGGCGCGAUAUUCACAGUACCGCAAGGGAAAGAUGAAAUAAAAAAUGAAAAAACCUUAAGCACCCAAAAAGCAGAGAUUUCACCUCGUACCUUUUGCAUCAUGGUUUAACUAGUCUAAUCAAGCGAAAAGACUUAAAGUUUGACCCCCCGAAACUAAGCGAGCUACUUCAAGGCAGCCAAACGAGCGACCCCGUCUCUGUUGCAAAAGAGUGGAAAGACCUUCAAGUAGAGGUGAUAGACCUAC